rnacentral:rRNA from 1 species
CGUUCCCGGGUCUUGUACACACCGCCCGUCACACCAUGGGAGUGGGUUUUACCAGAAGUAGUUCGCCUAACCGCAAGGGGGGCGAUUACCACGGUAGGAUUCAUGACUGGGGUG